CCUGACGCAGCGACGCCGCGUGCGGGAAGAAGGCUUUCGGGUCGUAAACCGCUGUCAGGAGGGAAGAAACUGUUUAGUCAUAAUACGGCUAUUCACUGACGGUACCUCCAGAGGAAGCACCGGCUAACUCCGUGCCAGCAGCCGCGGUAAUACGGAGGGUGCGAGCGUUAAUCGGAAUCACUGGGCGUAAAGCGUGCGUAGGCGGCGCAGCAAGUCAGACGUGAAAGCCCUCGGCUCAACCGAGGAAUUGCGUUUGAAACUGCUGUGCUAGAGUCUCGGAGAGGUUAGGGGAAUUCCAGGUGUAGGAGUGGAAUCCGUAGAUAUCUGGAGGAACACCGGUGGCGAAGGCGCCUAACUGGACGAGUACUGACGCUGAGGUACGAAGGCGUGGGGAGCAAACAGGAUUAGAUACCCUGGUAGUCCACGCCGUAAACGAUGGAUAUUAGGUGUCGGGGGUAACCCUUCGGUGCCGCAGUUAACGCGUUAAAUAUCCCGCCUG
rnacentral:rRNA from 1 species